rnacentral:miRNA from 7 species
UGUGUUCACUGCAGACCUUGAU